GGGGGGGGGGGUUUACGGACCAAGAUGGCGGCGGAUGUCAUCAACUGCAGAAACCUGUAAAUGAUGGCCGCUGCCUCACAGCUGGUAUCAUUGAAAAUCACCAUCUUUGCYGACAUGACUUCCAGUUUUCACUGUUUGGCUCAGGAAAAAGGAUUCMGUCUCCAUAGCAACUGGUAACUCGGCGUCUGCUUCUCAUGUCAAUGCAUCAUUAUGUGUUUAGAACCAGAACCGAAACAUGUCGACUGAAAACGGAAAGACGAAGUUCAGGUCUGAGAAGCACGGCAGUGGCAGCAUCAUGGCGCCUUCACAGAACGUGAGGCAGAAACACAACGGACAAAGGAAGUAGAAGUUUGGGUCCAAAUGGGUUUGGACUAGGGCUGAAACGAUUCCUCGAGUGAUUCGAGAACCUCGAUUAUUAAAAUCCCUCGAGGAAAAU